GAUGAACGCUGGCGGCGUGCCUAAUACAUGCAAGUCGAGCGAACAGACGAGGAGCUUGCUCCUCUGACGUUAGCGGCGGACGGGUGAGUAACACGUGGAUAACCUACCUAUAAGACUGGGAUAACUUCAGGAAACCGGAGCUAAUACCGGAUAACAUGUUGAACCGCAUGGUUCAACAGUGAAAGACGGUUUUGCUGUCACUUAUAGAUGGAUCCGCGCCGCAUUAGCUAGUUGGUAAGGUAACGGCUUACCAAGGCAACGAUGCGUAGCCGACCUGAGAGGGUGAUCGGCCACACUGGAACUGAGACACGGUCCAGACUCCUACGGGAGGCAGCAGUAGGGAAUCUUCCGCAAUGGGCGAAAGCCUGACGGAGCAACGCCGCGUGAGUGAAGAAGGUCUUCGGAUCGUAAAACUCUGUUAUUAGGGAAGAACAAAUGUGUAAGUAACUAUGCACGUCUUGACGGUACCUAAUCAGAAAGCCACGGCUAACUACGU
rnacentral:rRNA from 1 species